rnacentral:rRNA from 1 species
CCUACGGGAGGCAGCAGUGGGGAAUAUUGGGCAAUGGGCGCAAGCCUGACCCAGCAACGCCGCGUGAAGGAAGAAGGCUUUCGGGUUGUAAACUUCUUUUAUCAGGGACGAAGCAAGUGACGGUACCUGAUUAAUCAGCCACGGCUAACUACGUGCCAGCAGCCGCGGUAAUACGUAGGGGGCAAGCGUUAUCCGGAUUUACUGGGGGUAAAGGGUGUGUAGGCGGGAGUGCAAGUCAGAUGUGAAAACUAUGGGCUCAACCCAUAGCCUACAUUUGAAACUGUACUUCUUGAGUGCUGGAGAGGCAAUCGGAAUUCCGGGUGUAGCGGUGAAAUGCGUAGAUAUAAGGAGGAACACCAGUGGCGAAGGCGGAUUGCUGGACAGUAACUGACGCUGAGGCGCGAAAGCGUGGGGAGCAAACAGGAUUAGAUACCCCUGUAGUC